UACGGGGGGGAGCAAGCGUUGUUCGGAUUUACUGGGCGUAAAGGGCGCGUAGGCGGCCAGCACAAGUCAGUUGUGAAAUCUCCGAGCUUAACUCGGAAAGGUCAACUGAUACUGUGCGGCUAGAGUGCGGAAGGGGCAACUGGAAUUCUUGGUGUAGCGGUGAAAUGCGCAGAUAUCAGGAGGAACACCAAUAGCGAAGGCAGCUCGCUGGGACGAUACUGACGCUAAGGCGCGAAAGCGUGGGGAGCGAACAGGA
rnacentral:rRNA from 1 species